CGAACAGACGAGGAGCUUGCUCCUCUGACGUUAGCGGCGGACGGGUGAGUGACACGUGGAUAACCUACCUAUAAGACUGGGAUAACUUCGGGAAACCGGAGCUAAUACCGGAUAAUAUAUUGAACCGCAUGGUUCAAUAGUGAAAGACGGUUUUGCUGUCACUUAUAGAUGGAUCCGCGCCGCAUUAGCUAGUUGGUAAGGUAACGGCUUACCAAGGCAACGAUGCGUAGCCGACCUGAGAGGGUGAUCGGCCACACUGGAACUGAGACACGGUCCAGACUCCUACGGGAGGCAGCAGUAGGGAAUCUUCCGCAAUGGGCGAAAGCCUGACGGAGCAACGCCGCGUGAGUGAUGAAGGUCUUCGGAUCGUAAAACUCUGUUAUUAGGGAAGAACAAAUGUGUAAGUAACUAUGCACGUCUUGACGGUACCUAAUCAGAAAGCCACGGCUAACUACGUGCCAGCAGCCGCGGUAAUACGUAGGUGGCAAGCGUUAUCCGGAAUUAUUGGGCGUAAAGCGCGCGUAGGCGGUUUUUUAAGUCUGAUGUGAAAGCCCACGGCUCAACCGUGGAGGGUCAUUGGAAACUGGAAAACUUGAGUGCAGAAGAGGAAAGUGGAAUUCCAUGUGUAGCGGUGAAAUGCGCAGAGAUAUGGAGGAACACCAGUGGCGAAGGCGACUUUCUGGUCUGUAACUGACGCUGAUGUGCGAAAGCGUGGGGAUCAAACAGGAUUAGAUAACCUGGUAGUCCACGCCGUAAACGAUGAGUGCUAAGUGUUAGGGGGUUUCCGCCCCUUAGUGCUGCAGCUAACGCAUUAAGCACUCCGCCUGGGGAGUACGACCGCAAGGUUG
rnacentral:rRNA from 1 species